UACGUAGGUGGCAAGCGUUGUCCGGAUUUACUGGGCGUAAAGAGCGCGCAGGCGGCUGGUCAAGUCCGAUGUGAGAUCUCCCGGCUUAACUGGGAAACUGCAUCGGAAACUGAUCGGCUUGAAGGUGGGAGAGGGUAGUGGAAUUCCCGGUGUAGUGGUGAAAUGCGUAGAUAUCGGGAGGAACACCAGUGGCGAAGGCGACUACCUGGCCCAUUCUUGACGCUGAGGCGCGAAAGCUAGGGGAGCGAACGGG
rnacentral:rRNA from 1 species